CACGUAGGGGGCAAGCGUUGUCCGGAUUUAUUGGGCGUAAAGAGCUCGUAGGCGGCUCAGUAAGUCGGGUGUGAAACUCCAGGCUCAACCUGGAGACGCCACCUGAUACUGCUGUGGCUAGAGUCCGGUAGGGGAGCGUGGAAUUCCUGGUGUAGCGGUGAAAUGCGCAGAUAUCGGAAGGAACACCAGUGGCGAAAGCGGCUUCCUGGUCCAGCACCGACGUUCAGGCACGAAAGCGUGGGGAGCAAACAGG
rnacentral:rRNA from 1 species